rnacentral:rRNA from 1 species
UACAGAGGGGGCAAGCGUUGUUCGGAAUUACUGGGCGUAAAGGGCGCGUAGGCGGCCUUCUAAGUCAGACGUGAAAGCCCUCGGCUCAACCGGGGAAGUGCACCCGAAACUGCAAAGCUAGAGUCUCGGAGAGGAUCGUGGAAUUCUCGGUGUAGAGGUGAAAUUCGUAGAUAUCGAGAGGAACACCGGUGGCGAAGGCGGCGAUCUGGACGAUGACUGACGCUGAGACGCGAAAGCGUGGGGAGCAAACAGG